rnacentral:rRNA from 1 species
GAUGAACGCUGGCGGCGUGCCUAAUACAUGCAAGUCGAACGCUGAAGGAAGGAGCUUGCUCUUUCCGGAUGAGUUGCGAACGGGUGAGUAACGCGUAGGUAACCUGCCUGGUAGCGGGGGAUAACUAUUGGAAACGAUAGCUAAUACCGCAUAACAGUAGAUGUUGCAUGAUAUCUACUUAAAAGGUGCAAUUGCACCACUACCAGAUGGACCUGCGUUGUAUUAGCUAGUUGGUGAGGUAACGGCUCACCAAGGCGACGAUACAUAGCCGACCUGAGAGGGUGAUCGGCCAAACUGGGACUGAGACAAGGCCCAGACUCCUACGGGAGGCAGCAGUAGGGAAUCUUCGGCAAUGGACGGAAGUCUGACCGAGCAACGCCGCGUGAGUGAAGAAGGUUUUCGGAUCGUAAAGCUCUGUUGUAAGAGAAGAACGAGUGUGAGAGUGGAAAGUUCACACUGUGACGGUAUCUUACCAGAAAGGGACGGCUAACUACGUG